rnacentral:rRNA from 1 species
GGGACAACAUCCCGAAAGGGGUGCUAAUACCGAAUGUGACAGCAAUCUCGCAUGAGGAUGCUGUGAAAGAUGGCCUCUGUUUAUAAGCUAUCGCUAGAGGAUGGGCCUGCGUCUGAUUAGCUAGUUGGUGGGGUAACGGCCUACCAAGGCGAUGAUCAGUAGCCGGUCUGAGAGGAUGAACGGCCACAUUGGGACUGAGACACGGCCCAGACUCCUACGGGAGGCAGCAGUGGGGAAUCUUCCGCAAUGGGCGAAAGCCUGACGGAGCAAUGCCGCGUGAGUGAUGAAGGAAUUCGUUCCGUAAAGCUCUUUUGUUUAUGACGAAUGUGCAGAUUGUGAACAAUGAUCUGUAAUGACGGUAGUAAACGAAUAAGCCACGGCUAACUACGUGCCAGCAGCCGCGGUAAUACGUAGGUGGCGAGCGUUGUCCGGAAUUAUUGGGCGUAAAGAGCAUGUAGGCAGUUUUUUAAGUCUGGAGUGAAAAUGCGGGGCUCAACCCCGUAUGGCUCUGGAUACUGGAAGACUUGAGUGCAGGAGAGGAAAGGGGAAUUCCCAGUGUAGCGGUGAAAUGCGUAGAUAUUGGGAGGAACACCAGUGGCGAAGGCGCCUUUCUGGACUGUGUCUGACGCUGAGAUGCGAAAGCCAGGGUAGCGAACGAGAUUAGAUACCCCGGUAGUCCUGGCCGUAA